rnacentral:rRNA from 1 species
GAUCCUGGCUCAGGAUGAACGCUAGCGGCAGGCUUAACACAUGCAAGUCGAGGGGCAGCGUGGAGUAGCAAUACUCUGGCGGCGACCGGCGGAAGGGUGCGUAACACGUGAGCGACUUGCCCGAUACAGGGAGAUAACCGGUGGAAACGCCGACUAAUAUCCCAUACGACAUGAGGCUGCAUGGCCUUGGGUUGAAAGGUUCGUCCGGUAGUCGGAGUAGGCGUCGCGGGACGAUUAG